UGCCUUGUAGUAUAUAUCCCAUCAAAUAUUACUGUAAACUGCAACUUUACCAAAGCAACUGCCAAGGCAU
rnacentral:tRNA from 1 species